GUUAGUACUCAAACCUGUGAAGGCAAACAAGAUGCAGGCAUCUUGGCAGGGCCCGUAUAAGGUGUUAGCACAGAUAUGUGAUACUACCUACCUUAUAGCCAGCUGUUCAGAUGAAAGGAUCCAGCGAUCCUUCCAUGUGAACAUAAUAAAGGAGUAUCAGGAGAGACCAGAGAAUGUCGCUGCAGUAUGUGCCCCUGCUGCAGAUGAUACAGAAAGUUUACCCUUACCAGAUUUGUUAGAGAGGGACCCCC